rnacentral:ncRNA from 22 species
GGGUCCAGAAACAUUUCGCGUUUCUGGAGGUUUUCUUGUUAGCCGGGCCGCUAACC